rnacentral:scRNA from 1 species
ACCAUCACCCCAGGGAUCGGCACGGCCCGCAUCG